CGAAUCUUCCGCAAUGCGCGAAAGCGUGACGGAGCAAUGCCGCGUGCAGGAUGAAGCCUCUCGGGGUGUAAACUGCUGUCAGGGUUUAGCAACACAAUGAGCAGACCCCAAGGAAGGGCCGGCUAACUUCGUGCCAGCAGCCGCGGUAAUACGAAGGGGCCGAGCGUUGCGCGGAAUCACUGGGCUUAAAGCGUACGUAGGCGGGCGCGCAGGCGUUUUGUGAAAGCCCUCGGCUCAACCGAGGAAUUGCUUGACGAACCGCGCGCCUUGAGGCAAGUAGGGGCUGUCGGAACGAUAGGUGGAGUGGUGAAAUGCGUUGAUAUCUAUCGGAACGCCGAAGGAGAAAUCAGGCAGCUGGGCUUGUCCUGACGCUCAGGUACGAAAGCGUGGGGAGCGAAC
rnacentral:rRNA from 1 species